rnacentral:rRNA from 1 species
UACAGAGGGUGCAAGCGUUAAUCGGAAUUACUGGGCGUAAAGCGUGCGUAGACGGUUGCAUAAGUCAGAUGUGAAAGCCCCGGGCUCAACCUGGGAAUUGCAUUUGAGACUGUGUAGCUAGGGUGCGGAAGAGGGAAGCGGAAUUUCCGGUGUAGCGGUGAAAUGCGUAGAUAUCGGAAGGAACACCAGUGGCGAAGGCAGCUCGCUGGGACGGUACUGACGCUGAGACGCGAAAGCGUGGGGAGCAAACAGG